GUUACUGCUAUCGGAGUUCGAUUAAGCCAUGCGAGUCUAAAGGUUUCUUCGGAAACCUUGGCGGACUGCUCAGUAACACGUGGAUAACCUACCCUUGGGACUGGAAUAACCCCGGGAAACUGGGGAUAAUACCGGAUAGAUCAGGGAUGCUGGAAUGCGCCUUGAUCCAAAGCUCCGGCGCCCAAGGAUGGGUCUGCGGCCUAUCAGGUAGUAGUGGGUGUAACGUACCUACUAGCCAACGACGGGUACGGGUUGUGAGAGCAAGAGCCCGGAGAUGGAUUCUGAGACACGAAUCCAGGCCCUACGGGGUGCAGCAGGCGCGAAACCUUUACAAUGUGCGAAAGCAUGAUAAGGGAACUCCGAGUGCCAGUAUCUAAUAUUGGCUGUCCUUGUGCCUAAAACGCACAAGAUAGCAAGGGCCGGGUAAGACCGGUGCCAGCCGCCGCGGUAACACCGGCGGCCCGAGUGGUAGCCGCUAUUAUUGGGUCUAAAGGGUCCGUAGCCGGUUCGAUAAGUCCUCUGGGAAAUCUGGUUGCUUAACAAUCAGACUGCCAAGGGAUACUGUCGAACUUGAGACCGGGAGAGGUAAGAGGUACUUCAGGGGUAGGAGUGAAAUCUUGUAAUCCCUGGGGGACCAUCUGUGGCGAGGGCGUCUUACCAGAACGGGUCUGACGGUGAGGGACGAAAGCUGGGGGCGCAAACCGGAUUAGAUACCCGGGUAGUCCC
rnacentral:rRNA from 1 species